rnacentral:rRNA from 1 species
UACAGAGGUCUCAAGCGUUGUUCGGAUUCAUUGGGCGUAAAGGGUGCGUAGGUGGCGCGUUAAGUCAGGUGUGAAAUUUCGGAGCUUAACUCCGAAACUGCAUUUGAUACUGGCGUGCUUGAGGACUGGAGAGGAGACUGGAAUUCAUGGUGUAGCGGUGAAAUGCGCAGAUAUCAGGAGGAACACCGGUGGCGAAGGCGGGUCUCUGGGCCGAUACUGACGCUGAGGAGCGAAAGCGUGGGGAGCGAACAGG